rnacentral:ncRNA from 1 species
UUGACUCGGGGUGUCAUUGGCUGGUUGCGUGGCGAUGACUGAGAUUUUACCCGUUGAACCUGAUCUGGAUCAUACCAGCGUAGGGAAGUCUAAGUCUU